rnacentral:rRNA from 1 species
GCGCAGCAGUCGAGAAUACUUUACAAUGUGCGAAAGCACGAUAAGGGAACUCUGAGUGCCUCCUAAGGAGGCUGUUCUGAUGUCUAAAAGCAACAGAAGUAAGGGCUGGGUAAGACCGGUGCCAGCCGCCGCGGUAACACCGGCAGCCCAAGUGGUAGCCACGUUUAUUGGGUCUAAAGCGUUCGUAGCCGGCCAGGUAAGUUCCUUGGUAAAUUUAGCCGCCUAACGGUUAAGCUUUCAGGGAAUACUGCUUGGCUUGGGACUGGGAGAGGUCAGAGGUACUCCGGGGGUAGGGGUGAAAUCUAUUAAUCCCUGGGGACCACCGGUAGCGAAGGCGUCUGACCAGACCAGGUCCGACGGUGAGGGGCGAAGGCUAGGGGCGCGAACCGGAUUAGAUACCCGGCGUAGU